UACGUAGGGUGCGAGCGUUAAUCGGAAUUACUGGGCGUAAAGCGUGCGCAGGCGGUUCGUUAUGUCCGAUGUGAAAGCCCCGAGCUCAACUUGGGAAUGGCAUUGGAAACUGGCGGGCUGGAGUGUGGCAGAGGGGGGUGGAAUUCCACGGUGUAGCAGUGAAAUGCGUAGAGAUGUGGAGGAACACCGAUGGCGAAGGGACAGCCCCCCUGGGCCAACACUGCGCCUCGAGGCACGAAGACGUGGGAGCGAAA
rnacentral:rRNA from 1 species